rnacentral:tRNA from 16 species
GGGUGAUUAGCUCAGUGGUAGAGCGCUUCGUUCACAUCGAAGAUGUCGGGAGUUCGAAUCUCUCAUCACCCACCA